GAUGAACGCUGGCGGCGUGCCUAAUACAUGCAAGUCGAGCGAACAGACGAGGGGCUUGCUCCUCUGACGUUAGCGGCGGACGGGUGAGUAACACGUGGAUAACCUACCUAUAAGACUGGGAUAACUUCGGGAAACCGGAGCUAAUACCGGAUAAUAUAUUGAACCGCAUGGUUCAAUAGUGAAAGACGGUUUUGCUGUCACUUAUAGAUGGAUCCGCGCCGCAUUAGCUAGUUGGUAAGGUAACGGCUUACCAAGGCGACGAUGCGUAGCCGACCUGAGAGGGUGAUCGGCCACACUGGAACUGAGACACGGUCCAGACUCCUACGGGAGGCAGCAGUAGGGAAUCUUCCGCAAUGGGCGAAAGCCUGACGGAGCAACGCCGCGUGAGUGAGGAAGGUCUUCGGAUCGUAAAACUCUGUUAUUAGGGAAGAACAAAUGUGUAAGUAACUAUGCACGUCUUGACGGUACCUAAUCAGAAAGCCACGGCUAACUACGUG
rnacentral:rRNA from 1 species